rnacentral:rRNA from 1 species
ACGGGUGAGUAACGCGUGGGUAACCUACCCUAAAGACCGGGAUAACAGCGGGAAACUGCUGCUAAUACCGAAUGAGCUGUUUUUGCUGUGGCAAGAGCAGGAAAGGCAGAAGCGCUUUAGGAUGGGCCCGUGUCCCAUUAGCUAGUUGGUGAGGUAGAGGCUCACCAAGGCGACGAUGGGUAGCCGGCCUGAGAGGGUGGACGGCCACACUGGGACUGAGACACGGCCCAGACUCCUACGGGAGGCAGCAGUAGGGGAUAUUGCGCAAUGGGGGAAACCCUGACGCAGCGACGCCGCGUGAGCGAAGAAGGCCUUCGGGUCGUAAAGCUCUGUCCUAUGGGAAGAGGAAGGACGGUACCAUAGGAGGAAGCCCCGGCUAACUACGUGCCAGCAGCCGCGGUAAAACGUAGGGGGCGAGCGUUGUCCGGAAUAACUGGGCGUAAAGGGUGCGUAGGCGGACUGUUAAGUCUGAUGUGAAAACCUUGGGCUUAACCUAAGGCAGGCAUUGGAAACUGGCAGUCUCGAGUGCAGGAGAGGGAAGUGGAAUUCCCGGUGUAGCGGUGGAAUGCGUAGAUAUCGGGAGGAACACCAGUGGCGAAGGCGGCUUCCUGGACUGCAACUGACGCUGAGGCACGAAAGCUGGGGGAGCAAACAGGAUUAGAUA